rnacentral:lncRNA from 1 species
CUGGUGCUGAUGAAACCCAGGACACCCACAGGGCCGGGUCCCAGAUCACCUCCUCCGAGAAGCCACCGCCACCCUCCGGCCCCGGCCACCCGGCCUCCAGGCCUCCUCCGCCAAGCCAGGCUCCGGCCAGCCCACUAGACUGGGGGCUCCUUGAGGGCAGGAACGGGCUCGGCGUCUCCGUUUCAAUCCCCCU